GGAUUGCAAAACAACACCUGGGAAAAGUCUAAUUUGUAAUUUGUAAGUUCAUCACAGGGAAGUUGUUCUUGUAGUCCAGAGAGAAAUCUGAAAAUACAACAGCGAACUGAGGAAGAAAAGUGCAUUUUUAAAAGAACUGUCAAAGCAAACAACGUUGAGUUACUGAUUAGAAAUGGUUGGCUGUGUGCUCAAUAUGUUCAGUUCAAAUUAGUUGGAUUUCUUGAGACAGAAAGUUGGUUCCAAAAAGACAGGAUCAUAUGAGAGAAGACUGGCUGAUUUAUUUGGGAUAUGCUGGAUAACAAGGAGGCCUGUUUACAUACCGCCGUACAUGUUUAUAAGGAUUAUGAGCGUGUGUGACAGAAGGAGAUCUUUUCUUUUGCUGUUUGCCUGAGAUUUCUGGCUCCACACAGAGGUGAAUGUUUUCAAGUGGCAAACAUGAGACCGUGUGGAUGUAAUGUCUAACCUGCAAACAAAACAGAAACACGAGGACCUCGUUUAUUUUCCCAGAUCAUCAGGUCUAACUCGCAGUGAUCUACAGCCCAGAAACCAAAUCAUAAUGGCAGCUGUGAACAUGAUACAAACAAAUCUGGAUGUGUUUUCCUCAAAUUCGCUGCACCAAAAGAUUCAUCACUUAAAAGAAGUCUCGAGAAAGCUCACGGUUGUGUCUUGACUUUCUAAAAAUAUGCUUAUUUUGGAGAAAAAGACACAUUUUGUAUUUAUUGCUUCCCUUUUCUCAUGUUUAACUACAGAGACUAUCUUAAAACUAGACAACGAAAAGCACUUAGAAGUCAUAAUCCUACUAAUAUUUUCGGCUUAACAUUUAAUUUCUGACUUGUUUCUAUUUUAGCUACUCCUGCAUUGUGACAUUUUCCAUUGCAGAUACUGUAUUGACAACAGUUAAAUGCAUUGCUGCAUACAGAAGCCUCUUUUUACUUAUUAUACCAAUAAAAAGUCCAAUUUUCCUGGAGUUAAAAUUGUAAAAGAGAGUUUUUUUAUGGCGAGCAGUCGACACAGAUUUACGUCUUCUAUGGUGCUGACAUGGUACUUUAAAAACGUCCGGGGUUGGCAGGUUUAAAACACAUGGAGAGCAGCGGCACAUCACUGGAUGUGUGAUGUGGACAGAGGUCACCUGGAGCGGUGAAGUUCAGUUACUGUACACGAGUUGAGUUUGAGGGGAGAUGUAGCCCUUGCUCGAUGCCACUGUCACGUAAAGCCAUGUUUUUCCUUUGACACAAAGACAGCCUCAGCCGAGUCAACACGCUGCUGUACACAUCAGUGUCUUACUCUCUGUCAAUGUUCAGAUCAGAGACAAACGCUGUCUGUCUGACCCCCCCGUCGUGUUACCGACACUCCCUCCUUUUUUUCCAUUGGCAGGCUGUUUGUUUGUUUGUGGUGAUGUCCUUGUUUCUGUUCAAUCAUUCAGGAUGUUUUUUUGUCUCUUUUUACCGACAACAUGCAAGUACAAAUGCUACUAUGGUCUUUAAAGCUAACUGUGAUGUGCAUUACUUCCACUGUUGCUUAAUCUUGUUCGGAUUAUUUUCUCCACGCAUUGACUGGCAAGCUAAUAGCCCUCCUUUCUUUCUCUGCUGUGACCUUUGCUCCCCUCUCCUCUCUUUCCGCAGUCUUCUGCCCUCCGUGAACCUACAGUACUAACAAUUUUUAGACGUCUUGUGGACGCUUGGCUUCAGUGCUGUGUCGUUUUAAUUUCAUUGCACUCUUAUUGAAGAAAAAAGUUUGAGAAGUCACAUUUAAUUUUCCUAGAAUGCUUACUAUUAUCUAUGUCCGUACACCGUUUAUUUUUUUUCUACCAUUUUAGUUGCUUCUCUUCGAUUUUAAUCAUUAGUCAUUUUUAUGUUGGCAACCUCAAACAUUUGCAGCAAAAACGCCAGUCUGAGGAGUUUCAUUGCUUCAUAUUGUGAUCUGAAAUUUUAUACAUGUCAUAAUAAUACUUGAUAUGUACCUAUUAAAUAUUUGGAUUCGAGAAAAUAAGUCUAUUCUUUAGUUUUUGCCCUGUGUUUUACUGAUUGAAUGUGGCAAAUAAGUUUAGAUUUCAGAGUAAAAUGUAACAUCAGAAUGUAGAUAGUGAUGUUAAUGUUUGCUCUUUAAAAUUCGACUCAACUUGGCCAGUUACAUUUAGACUUUUUAAAGCUUUUCAGAUUUCUAUUUUGCGAAACUUAAGGUAUUCUCUUAAUCAUAUAAUUUAGCAAACUGCAUUUUUUUCCUAUAUGUCCC
ensembl:lncRNA